UACGUAGGGUGCAAGCGUUAAUCGGAAUUACUGGGCGUAAAGCGUGCGCAGGCGGUUUUGUAAGUCUGAUGUGAAAUCCCCCGGGCUCAACCUGGGAAUUGCAUUGGAGACUGCAAGGCUAGAAUCUGGCAGAGGGGGGUAUAAUUCCACGUGUAGCAGUGAAAUGCGUAGAGAUGUGGAGGAACACCGAUGGCGAAGGCAGCCCCCUGGGUCAAGAUUGACGCUC
rnacentral:rRNA from 1 species